rnacentral:rRNA from 1 species
GUAGAGGCCCACCAAACCGACGAUCAGUAGCCGGCCUGAGAGGGUGGACGGCCACAUUGGGACUGAGACACGGCCCAAACUCCUACGGGAGGCAGCAGUGGGGAAUAUUGGGCAAUGGACGCAAGUCUGACCCAGCAACGCCGCGUGAAGGAAGAAGGCUUUCGGGUUGUAAACUUCUUUUACCAGGGACGAAGGACGUGACGGUACCUGGAGAAAAGCCACGGCUAACUAC